rnacentral:tRNA from 1 species
GUUGCCGUAGCUUAAUCAACACCAAAGCACGGCCCUGAAGUUGCCGUUAUGGAAGGCCCAUUUCCCGGAAACA